CCACAAGGGUUUUGAGACCAGCUCACUAUUGACUUCAGGCUUGUGGGCCUGCUCUCCUUCCACAAGAAUCUUAGGUUUGCAACUGAGAGGCAGCCAUAUGGAGCCUGUGUGCAACACAUGUAUGUAGUGCAAGUAACGCACGUGAGUGCCACACUGGCCCUGGAGCCUUUGUGGGGUCAGUGGUCGGCCCCAGCACCUCAGCUAGGUAUCCGCUUUCAGUUUUGUGCUCACCUCUUACGGCAGGAGUAGGGAGGACUGCCUGUUCUUUGACUGGCUUUCCAGGUGAAGUCAGGCUUUUGUCUCAUGCUUCUAGGGAAGGUCUGAAGCAUAGUCCAUGCAUCUAAAAAGCGAGUGUUGACAAGUACAGAAGCAGCUGCCACCAGACUGAUCUCAAACACAUGGAAUUUUCACGUAAAUUCUUAAUGUUUCAUAUUGUUAAUAUCUUAAAAUUUUGUUAAUUGUUAAUGAAGGCCUUAUUACUAUUUUCAGAUUCUUUCAAUAAAUAAACUUGUUUU
rnacentral:lncRNA from 1 species